CCCUUUUUGUUCAGUGUCGGACUCGGAAAAGAAGCCUACUUUCUUCUCUCUCUUUCGUCUUCGUUCCGCCUCCUUUAAACCCUAUAUAUCCUUCACACACAAAACACAACACCAUUUAUGUACUUUUCCCUCAAAACUAUGUCAAAUUAAUGCUACUGUUUCUCCCAUGUUUGUCUCACUUUUCACCUCUCCUUUUGGUAAAGCCAGGAAAAUGUUCAGGAAAGAUGAUGGUGAACAACGGACACUGUCGGAUAUGAGAUGAGACGUAUUUGAAAAAAGCCAGAUGUGAGAUAUGCAACAAAUCAUUGGUAAAUUACUCAACUAUCUGAUUAAAAUCUUAUCAUAUGUGAGGUUCUGUGGUUUUAUAUGAGGUAAUAUGUUAUAUAUUUAGGAAGAACCUUUAUCUAAGAUGUUAAACUUAUGUCAAGAUAAGUUUGAUGAGGAAUAAAAAUUUUCUGAAGAGGUCUUUUUUAUUUUGUUGGAUUAUGGAUAUCUUGUAAAACUGAUAUGUUGGACAUGGUUUUCAGAUUUGUUUUCAGAUUUGUGUCACUCCUACAGAUUGUAUUAGGUAACAUCUUUGAUUUUUUUUUUAGCAUGGAUAUUCUUGUCUACUACUGAAUAAAUCUUCUGGACUAUAAAAGCAAUCCAAGACUAUGUUGGUAUAAGCAUUUAGCGAGUAAUGUAAUAAACUUUUAGAGUUGCUAUAUGUAUGGCCCCUAGAUAUAUCUAAAGUUUUAGUGAAAUUGAUCUUUGAAUCAAUUCAAAAACUGAAUGAGUUUAAUCAUACUACAUAAGAGAGGGAAAGUAAAAUUUCUCGGUACCAAAACUCAGAAUAUUUUAGGAUAUCGUAGAAUUUCUCAUAAAGUUCUUCAAUAUAGCAUAACUUGAGAACUUUUAUUUGAAAAUAUUGCUAAAAUUGUGAAGCUGGAAUGUCAAGAAAAUGAACCUGUUAUGGAUGAUGAUGGACAAUGGUUGGUGCAAGAAUGGAUUCAUAGCAGUUCAACUUGAAACCUAGAUGCACUUGUAACCGCAUAAACUCGUUCGGGAGAGAGGAUAUUGAUUCAGGUUCAUCUAAAGAGAGUACAAUACAUACACAGGUCAUGCUGGAAAUUGAUGUUGUGAAAAGGGAAAAUACAGUCACAGGUUUAGUCGAAGAAGCUAGGGCUUUCACUUUGAUCUGAUAUGCUUAAAAGAUGCUCUAAAUAUUCAACUCCCAGAUCCUCUAACACGAGCAAAGAUGGUGUUGGAUCCUCUGAUGGGUGUUUCCCUUUACACUUUUUAGCUUGAGAUGACACUUUUCUUAGGAUGCAGUGUCUCUCCUUGAGUGCAAGAGCAGGAGAAGAACCAGAGAAGCAGGUGUAUUGGAUCUCUUGCAAAGAUUCUUUGACCCUUUUGACUGGAAAAUUGAGGACAGCAUUGUGGCCUCUCAUGGAGAAUGCAGCUUGGUCAUAAGCCAAAGCAGCAGCUUCUGCACUCUCAAAGGUUCCAAGCCAAACCCUUGUUCCAUUCCUUGUUGUGUCUCUUAUCUCUGCAGAGUCAGAAGUAAAUGAAUGAUAAUAAGUGUAUGAUCUCAUAUUAUACUCACUACAUUGUCCUUUAGAGAUUGAGUCAAUAUCUAUUUGUGUAUGAAAAUUAUGAGGAUCUUUAUGUGAAAUACUCUUUAGACAUUUGAUGAUUAAG